AUUGAACGCUGGCGGCAGGCCUAACACAUGCAAGUCGAGCGGAUGAAGGGAGCUUGCGCCUGGAGUCAGCGGCGGACGGGUGAGUAAUGCCUAGGAAUCUGCCUGGUAGUGGGGUAUAACGUCCUGAAACGGGCGCUAAUACCGCAUACGUCCUGAUGGUGAAAGAUGGUGGGGUUCGGACAGCACGCUAUCAGAGGAGCCUAGGCCGGGUUAGCCAGUUGGUGGGGUAAAGGCCUACCUAGGCGACUAUCCGCAACUCGUCGGAGUGGAUGAUCAGUCACCCUGGAAGGUAGCCACGGUCCAGACUCCUGCGGGACGCAGCAGUGUCGAAUGUUGGACAGUGGUGGGAAGCCUGGUCCAGUGGUGCGGCGUGUGUGACGGCGGUCUUCGGAUUGUAAUGAAGGUCUAGUUGGUGGGAAGCGCAGUCGGUUAAUACCUUGCUGUUUUGACGUUACCAGCUGAAUAAGCACCGGCUAACUUCGUG
rnacentral:rRNA from 1 species